UUUGUUUUAUUUGUGGGUAAAAUUGGACUUGUUUCUCCCUCAUUUUUCAUCAUUAUCAUCCUCCAGCAUCCUCCUUUACAUUUGAGGUAUUAUGGCUCGCACAAGAAGGUCUAGAGCACCGACACCUCCAUCUUCGUCGACAGAGGAACACACACCUUCCUUGCAUGAGGAGUCACCUGAAGAGGAAUCUCCGUCACCAGAGCCGCCACCUCGCUCUC